UUUCGCAAGUAGGGGCCUAAAGCCCAACUUUAGGGUCCGACUAUGGUAUGCAAAAGUGGUAUUUGUGUAACCAUACAUCGGCCCUUCCUGUGUUUCCGACGGUCAACGAUACUCCUUAGUUCUUCUCACUUCCCCAGUUCCCCAGCCCUAGUUUUUUCUCUCUUGAAGAAGAAGAUGUGCAACAGCCAAUCACGUUGGAUUCGCCUAGGGAGCUUCUCUAAUUUAUCACUCUCUAAUUUAUCACUGAAAGCAGCAAGUUCUUCAGGUGUUUAUGACUCCUGGAGGAAAAGGAUGGGUUCUUCGUACCCUAGAGGACCUCCCAAAAGGUGCAUUUGUAUGUGAAUAUGUUGGGGAAAUAUUAACCAAUGCAGAGCUGUUUGAGCGAGUCUCGAAAUGCCCCAGCAGUGAAGAGCAUGCAUAUCCUGUGCUGCUUAAUGCUGAUUGGGGUUCAGAAGGAGUCUUAAAGGAUGAAGAGGCUCUUUGUUUAGAUGCAACACAUUAUGGAAAUGUUGCAAGGUUUAUUAAUCAUAGAUACAGGAAGUGAUCCGAGGUACCAAGGACGUACUUUCUCUAGCUCAGUGUAGGUAUUAGGUAUAUGUGGUGGUCGGUUGUGGACCUCUGGGAAGAUAGCAAACACUUCAAUGGCUAAGGAUUGCUGGAGGUGGUGGAGGAGAAGACCAAGGAUUGCUGUGUAAUUUCUGUGUUAUCUUCUUGGUAUGUUCUUAUUGAUUGGGUGCAUGGGCUAGUCCUUGCUUCAACAAAGCGAAGGUAUUAGGUUUAUCGCUACAUCUCAUGAUUUGGAAGCACCUUAAGCUACCAUUACAUCUUGUUUGCCUUCUGGGGUUAUCUUGUGGACUGCCCAAGUUUCUAUACAACUUGAAUAUUUUACUUCUAUACUCAGUAAGUAGUCCCCUUUUAUUGAUUUUUAUCUCAUUCAUUACAAAGUCUUGCAUAUAGUUGAAGGGGAGAUUGAAAUUGAUUGAGUGGUUUAACAUGAUUGUCAAAAGUAUAGACAUAUCCUACGUUUAUCAAACUCUCUCUUAUACAUUUAACCAAUAGCAUUUCUUGCAAUAUAAAUUUUAUGAACUAAUAACAGGCUAGACAGUAGCCCUGGAAAGGACUCCUAGCUUUACUUAAAAUUUAAGGAAAUUCUAACCAAAGUAGAAACUCCUAAAAAUUAAAAUUUCUAACAAACAUGACUUUCUAUGCAAGAGCUCCUUUAUUGGCUAAUGAUGGGCUUUAAAUGGGCUGUUUUUGGAAUCUUUGUCUUUCUAUCCGUCUAUCCUUUAUUAACAGUUUGUGCCUGUUCUCAGUGGACAGAAGGAAUGAGAGGAGAGAAACAUGAAGGGGCAUAUAUAAUCAGUUAAAAAACUCAUCUUAGGUCAAGGGCUCAAGGAACUGAAAUGCAUCUUUAUGUAAGAUGCACCUGUGCUUUAUGAACUGUCUGAUAGAUUUGUGUAAAAUGCAUGUGUUCUAUGAACUUUCUGACAGAUUUUCAUUUAUUUAUUUAUUAUAUUACCCUAUUUAGGGUUGUUAUGUCCAUUUUUAUAAUGUCAAGAAAGAAUGUAAUGGGUUUUAAAUAAUUUAUGGUUGGUGGCUUUUAGAUAUUGUAACCACAUCUUUAUAUAAAAACUA